UCUCCGUAGGUGAACCUGCGGAGGGAUCAUUAAGAAUUGAACAGCAGUGUCUGGCACUGCUGCCCAUUCUAACCCUUUGUGAACUACAACUCUGUUGCUUCGGGGGCGACCCUGCCGUUUCGACGGCGAGCGCCCCCGAAGGUCUCCAAACACUGCAUCUCUGCGUCGGAGUUUAAUACAAAUGAAACAAAACUUUCAACAACGGAUCUCUUGGUUCUGGCAUCGAUGAAGAACGCAGC
rnacentral:misc_RNA from 1 species